GAUUAAUAAUUACCAUGAAAUUCUGAACAUCAAACGCACUGUUACUUGACUAACGACAACCGCCGGCCACCGCAUCCCGCCGCCCGCCGCCGCUACAAUGACGGAAUUCCUAGACCUCGAAAUUCAGGACUCCGUCCGCAUGCCGUGGAACGUCCUCCCCGGCACUAAAGCCCACGCCGCCAACUGCGCCAUCCCGAUCGCCGCCAUCUACACGCCUCUGAAGCCGCUCCCCGAGGCCACGCCGCUCCUCCCUUACUCGCCGCUCCGAUGCCGCAGCUGCCGAUCCGUGAUCAAUCCGUUCUCGAUCGUCGAUUUCUCCUCCGUCAACAAGAUAUGGAUCUGCAGCUUCUGCCUCCAGCGCAACCACUUUCCGCCGCUUUACCAGUCGAUUUCCGAGCAGAAUUUCCCGGCUGAGCUGUUCCCGCAGUAUACGACUAUCGAGUACGAGACUCCUGCUCCGCAGCCGCAGGAUAAGGCGCAGCCUGGGAGCACUAAUGUUUUUUUGUUUGUGGUGGAUACUUGUGUUAUCGAGGAGGAGCUGGGGUAUUUGAAGUCCGCUAUGUUGCAGGUGUUGGGAGUGGUGCCUGAGAAUUGUUUGAUCGGAUUGAUUACAUUUGGUACAUAUGUGCAUGUUCAUGAGCUUGGCUUUGGGCUGAUUCCAAAAGUUCACGUGUUCAAGGGGACAAAAGAGGUGACUAAGGAUCAAUUGUUGGACCAGAUGGGCUUCUUUACAAAAAGACCAAGGCCAACUACAGGUGUCAUAGCUGGCGUGAGAGAUGGUCUGUCACAGGAGAGUGUUGGAAGGUUCUUGUUACCUGCGUCAGAUUGUGAGUUCGUUCUUAAUUCGAUAUUAGAGGAGCUUCAGAAAGAUCCUUGGCCAGUUCCAUCUGAUCAACGGGCUGCUAGGUGUACUGGUGCAGCAUUGAGUCUGGCUGCUCAUUUGCUGGGGGCAUGUGUCCCUGGUUCUGGCGCUAGAAUUAUGGCAUUUUUGGGUGGACCAUCAACAGAGGGGCCAGGAGCUAUAGUGUCCAAAAGUCUGUCUGAACCUAUACGUUCCCACAAGGACCUGGACAAAGAUUCGGCUCCUCACUACCACAAAGCUGUGAAGUUCUAUGAAGCACUUUCAAAACAACUUGUUCAUCAAGGACAUGUGCUAGACGUUUUUGCUUGUGCACUUGAUCAGGUUGGAGUUGCCGAGCUUAAAGUAGCAGUUGAAAAAACUGGAGGGCUUGUUGUUCUUGCUGAAAGUUUUGGGCAUUCAGUUUUCAAGGAUUCCCUACGAUGUAUUUUCCAAGCUGGUGAUCAUGAUCUGGGACUGGCAUCAAAUGGUAUAUUUGAGAUCAACUGCUCAAAAGAUAUCAAAAUUCAGGGAAUAAUUGGGCCUUGUGCAUCACUUGAUAAGAAAGGUCCUUUGUGCUCUGAAACUGUUAUUGGCCAAGGGAACACCACUGCAUGGAAGUUAUGUGGCCUUGAUAAAAAUACUUCCUUGUGUAUAGUAUUCGAUGUUGCUAAGAAAGAGAGUCCAGACAUUGUUUCUCAAUCAGCAAACAACCAGUUCUAUUUCCAGUUUCUGACAUAUUAUCAACACAGCAAUGGGCAAAUGAGACUCCGUGCUACUACUCUCUCGAGAAGAUGGGUUGCUGGACCUGGGAUCAAAGAUGAACUGAUAUCUGGAUUUGAUCAAGAAGCAGCUGCUGUAGUAAUGGCACGCCAAGUUUCUUUCAAAAUGGAAACUGAGGCUGAAUUUGACCCAAUAAGGUGGCUGGAUAAGUCAUUGAUACAUAUAUGUACACAAUUCGGAGAGUACCAGAAGGAUAACCCAUCUUCUUUUGGGUUAUCCCCUAGACUAUCAAUAUUUCCUCAGUUCAUGUUCCACCUGCGGCGUUCACAAUUUGUCCAGGUAUUCAACAAUAGCCCCGAUGAGACGGCAUACUUUAGGAUGAUUCUGAACAGAGAAAAUGUUUCUAAUUCAGUUGUCAUGAUUCAACCUUCCCUGAUCUCCUAUGCUUUCAACUCUGGGCCAGAAGCUGCACUUCUCGAUGUGGUUUCCAUUGCUGCUGAUAAAAUCCUUCUUCUUGAUUCGUAUUUCACUAUUGUUGUAUUUCAUGGAGCAUCUAUUGCUCAAUGGCGAAAAGCUGGAUAUCAUGAAUUGCCUGAACAUCAGGCUUUCGCUCAGUUGCUACAAGCUCCCAGAAGUGACACAGAUACGAUAAUAAGAGAAAGAUUCCCAGUUCCUCGUCUUGUAAUCUGUGAUCAGCACGGUUCUCAGGCCCGUUUUCUUCUAGUGAAGUUAAAUCCGUCAGCUACUUAUAAUUCAGAUACUCAGGCAGCUCCUGGAGGUGAUAUCAUCUUCACUGAUGAUGUCAGCUUUGAGGUCUUCUCGGACCACCUGCAGCGCUUGGCAGUUCAAUAGAGUGGUACUUACCAACACUUUCUGAGGCAGGGGAGCCCGCCCCCUUACCCCCAGAAAACUCACCAGCAAGUGGGAUCGCUGCGGUCAUGGACGGAUUCACUUCUUUUCAGGGUCCAUAGUUCAACAUUGUUCUCACCUAGACUUUUGUUUUUGUGCUUGUAACAGGUAGUCACCGGCGAACUAACUGAACGAGCUGACCUGACCAGCUCGCUCAACAGAGGUAGCUUCAAGCGGGAUGGUGAGCGUGGGCUGGUGUGUUUCGAAAUGAGGACCGACAUCGAGAGAGUAAGAUUUGAUUCAAAUUUCUUUUCUUUCCUGAUAAGAAAAAAGUUGAUCUUGUAUUAUGGUGUGUGAGGAGAAGGUGUUGUUUUUGCCACUCCAGACAGACAAUAGAGGCGUUAACUAUGAGAAAAAAGAAGUAAAAAAUGAAUUUGGUGUGAAAUACUAUGGAGAAUUGGAAGUGAUGGAUCAAUGCAAAUAUCAAUACUUUUUUGUGUCAUCAUGUCUUGACAGACUGUAUUUAGGAACAAUCAGCUGAUUUAUAUAGUGAAGAAGAGAAACUAUAGAUUUGUGGUCUUUUCUAUCAUUGUAAUUUGAUCCAGCUUGUUAUAAUGUGUUUAUAACCAUGAA